rnacentral:rRNA from 1 species
GACGAAGGUGGCAAGCGUUACUCGGAAUUACUAGGCGUAAAGGGCAGGUAGGUGGUUUGAUUAGUCUGUUGUGAAAGCUCCCGGCUCAACCGGGAGAGGCCAACAGAUACUGUCAGACUUGAGUAUGGGAGAGGAUACUGGAAUUCCCGGUGUAGCGGUGAAAUGCGCAGAGAUCGGGAGGAACACCAAUGGCGAAAGCAAGUAUCUGGACCAUUACUGACACUCAGCUGCGAAAGCUAGGGGAGCAAACAGG